rnacentral:rRNA from 1 species
AGAUUGAACGCUAGCGGGAUGCUUUACACAUGCAAGUCGAACGGCAGCGCGGACUUCGGUCUGGCGGCGAGUGGCGAACGGGUGAGUAAUAUAUCGGAACGUGCCCAGUAGCGGGGGAUAACUACGCGAAAGCGUGGCUAAUACCGCAUACGCCCUACGGGGGAAAGGGGGGAUCGCAAGACCUCUCACUAUUGGAGCGGGCCU